rnacentral:lncRNA from 1 species
GAACAUAUAAUGAUAACUCUAGUGAAGAAUGUUUCACAAUGCAAGUCCAACAAACAGUUCAAUUUCAGAAAGGCGCAUGCAUGAAUGUCCUGCCUCAGCCAUAGAUGGUGGUGUUGAGCAAUUUCUUCACAUCAGGUAGCCGGAGGUCGUCGUUUGGGGACUCAUAGUACGGAUAGUCAACAAAUGUCUGCAUUAUUCAGAACCAUGUCCAACAAAUAACCACAUGAGCAAGAUGCAAAACCAAUGCAACUCUUGUUACUUAAACACUACAGCGAAGUAACAGGAGCUACAGUUGCAAAAUACUACUGUUAUAGCAUAGUACAGGUUCAGAGAGAUUAUCCUAUGUUGUUUGGGGUGUUGCAGGGGCUCUUUUCGGCAGCCGAAGCAAUAAGGACUAUGGUGGUGACCGCCGGGUGAUCGUGUACGCUAUAACGUCAUAAAUUCAUGUGAUCUUCACUCCAGCAAGUCCCACGCCUUUUUGAUGAUCGAUCAAAGGUCUUCUGCUCACUGUCAGCAUCAAGUUUUCCAAGAUGAGACAUGCUAGAGGAAGAGGAAAACAAGGGAUAUUCUCGUGGUAGGAAAACAAGGAAGAUUUGCACAUGUAUUUUCGCUACUGCUUCUUUCCCAUCUCUUCUCCAUUAUUUAUCAUCUCUUUUUCAGGGCGGU